rnacentral:rRNA from 1 species
GACGAACGCUGGCGGCGUGCCUAAUACAUGCAAGUAGGACGCAGUUGCGAACGGGUGAGUAACGCGUAGGUAACUACCUAUUAGAGGGGGAUAACUAUUGGAAACGAUAGCUAAUACCGCAUACUAGUAGAUGGACCUGCGUUGUAUUUGCUAGUAGGUAGGGUAAUGGCCUACCUAGGCAACGAUACAUAGCCGAGCUUGGAGGGUGGUCGGCCACCAUGGGACUGGGAAAAGGCCCAGACGUCUUCGGGAGGGAGCCGUAGGGAAUCUUCGGCAAUGGGGGGAACCCUGACCGAGCAACGCCGCGGUAGUGAAGAAGGUUUUCGGAUCGUAAAGCUCUGUUGUUAAGGAAGCGGUACCUAACCAGAAAGGGACGGCUAACUACGUGCCAGCAGCCGCGGUAAUAC